rnacentral:lncRNA from 1 species
CAGCACCCCCACCCCACACCCCAGGCGAGGCCAGGCGAGCCAGGGACACCCCCUCCCCCGCAAUGCUGUUGUGCCGAGGGCAGCCCCCAGCCUCACGGGGCGGGGCGAGGUGAGGCCUACGCGCCCCCCGGCCCCCCAAGGGCCCCCUCACCAUGGUUCCAGGCCGGGCUCAGAGCGCUCCAACCUGCGGCAGAAACAACCCAAAAUGGCGUCAGCGCAAUCCCAACGCCCAACAACCGCCUCUCACCAUCGGCCUCCCCGCGCCCAACCCGCGCCCCCCCCCCCCCNNNNNNNNNNNNNNNNNNNNGCUCACGGACCGGAAGCGCGCGCGCACUUCCGCACCCGGCUCUUAGCCCCGCCCCCUCGGGCGCCGCUACGGCUGGCGCGGAGGGACACUCCGCACCGCAUCGCGCUCGCGGACGCCGCUCCUGUGAUGAGUUAGCGGGGUCUCAGCCUCCUCCGCACCGUAACGGGGGGUAUGCGGGGUGCACCGGGCAGCGUCGGCCGCCCCGAUCGCUCCGUGCACCGCCGCGAAGGAGGGGCACGGCCGUGUGGGCGGGCUGUUUGCAUCCUCUGAGCCCCAGCGUGUCUUGGGGGGCCCUGCAUCCUCCGAGCCCCAGCACCAGGGCCCCCCAAGACACGCUGGGGCUCGAUGGCUCGGGUAGAGCUGUAAUGGAGCAGCUCUGCCACAAGAGAGAGCUUCAGCCACGCUCAAAACCCCAAAACCACCCCAACCUCCUGCAAGAAUCCUUGGGGAGGGGUGGGAAGGCAAGGGACCCCGUCCUGUCCCUACGCCCCCUCGGUCCCUCUUGCCCUGUCCCCAUCACCCUGUGCCCUUCACCCUGUCCCCAUCGCCCUGUUGCUCAUCACCCUGUGCCCAUUGCCUGUCCUUGUCACCCUGUCCCCAUCACCCUGCCCCAUCACCCGGAGCCCACCUAUGCCCAUCACCCUGUCCCCAUUGCCCUGUGCCCAUCCCUCUGUCCACAUCACCAUGUGCUCAUCACCCUGUGCCCAUCGUCCUGUCCCCUUCACCUUGUGCCCUUUACCCUGUCCCCAUCAUCCUGUGCCCACCUGUGCCCUUCACCCUGUCCCCGUCACCCUGCAUCCCACAGCCCUCACACCCAGGCACACUGA